GUUCCUUCGGGGAUAUCUGAUAAAACUAAAACGAUAUAGAAAUGAUUAGCAUAGCCCUUGCGCAGGAUGACACGCACAAUUGAGAAAUUGUCCAAAUUUUU
rnacentral:snRNA from 1 species